rnacentral:rRNA from 1 species
CCAAUAGCGUAUAUUAAAGUUGUUGCAGUUAAAAAGCUCGUAGUUGAAUUUCGGGGUCUGUCAGUCGGUCGGGCUUCACUGUCCGUACUGGUUUGAUGGAUUCUUACCUUCUGAAUAACCAUCAUGCCAUUAAUUUGGUGCGUUGGGGAAGCAGAGCUAUUACCUUGAAAAAAUUAGAGUGCUUAAAGCAGGCUUAUGCUUGAAUAGAUUAGCAUGGAAUAAUGAAAUAGGACGGCAUGGUUCUAUUUUGUUGGUUUCUAGGAUCACCGUAAUGAUUAAUAGGGAUAGUUGGGGGCAUUAGUAUUCAGUUGUCAGAGGUGAAAUUCUUGGAUUUAUUGAAGACUAACUACUGCGAAAGCAUUUGCCAAGGAUGUUUUCAUUAAUCAAGAACGAAAGUUAGGGGAUCGAAGACGAUCAGAUACCGUCGUAGUCUUAACCAUAAACUAUGCCGACUAGGGAUCGGACGAAGUUAAUUUUUUAAUGACUCGUUCGGCGCCUUACG